AUAAGGUUAAGUUAAUAAGGGCGCACGGUGGAUGCCUUGGCACUAGGAGCCGACGAAGGACGUGACAAACGACGAUAUGCCUUGGGUAGCUGUAAGUAAGCGAUGAUCCAUGGAUUUCCGAAUGGGGGAACCCAACAGGUAAUACCUGUUACCCACAUCUGUUAAGGAUGUGAGGAGGAAGACGCAGUGAACUGAAACAUCUAAGUAGCUGCAGGAAGAGAAAGCAAAAGCGAUUGCCUUAGUAGCGGCGAGCGAAACGGCAGAAGGGCAAACCGAAGAGUUUACUCUUCGGGGUUGUAGGACUGCAAUGUGGACUCAAAGAUUAUAGAAGAAUGAUUUGGGAAGAUCAGCCAAAGAGAGUAAUAGCCUCGUAUUUAAAAUAGUCUUUGUACCUAGCAGUAUCCUGAGUACGGCGGGACACGUGAAAUCCCGUCGGAAUCUGGGAGGACCAUCUCCCAACCCUAAAUACUCCCUAGUGACCGAUAGUGAACCAGUACCGUGAGGGAAAGGUGAAAAGCACCCCGGGAGGGGAGUGAAAUAGAACCUGAAACCGUGUGCCUACAACAAGUUCGAGCCCGUUAAUGGGUGAGAGCGUGCCUUUUGUAGAAUGAACCGGCGAGUUACGUUAUGAUGCGAGGUUAAGUUGAAGAGACGGAGCCGUAGGGAAACCGAGUCUGAAUAGGGCGCCUUAGUAUCAUGACGUAGACCCGAAACCAUGUGACCUACCCAUGAGCAGGUUGAAGGUGCGGUAAGACGCACUGGAGGGGAAACCGAGUCUGAAUAGGGCGCCUUAGUAUCAUGACGUAGACCCGAAACCAUGUGACCUACCCAUGAGCAGGUUGAAGGUGCGGUAAGACGCACUGGAG
rnacentral:rRNA from 1 species